AUGAACGCUGGCGGCGUGCCUAAUCCCUGCAAGUCGAGCGAACAGAUAAGGAGCUUGCUCCUUUGACGUUAGCGGCGGACGGGUGAGUAACACGUGGGUAACCUACCUAUAAGACUGGGAUAACUUCGGGAAACCGGAGCUAAUACCGGAUAACAUUUGGAACCGCAUGGUUCUAAAGUGAAAGAUGGUUUUGCUAUCACUUAUAGAUGGACCCGCGCCGUAUUAGCUAGUUGGUAAGGUAACGGCUUACCAAGGCAAAGAUACGUAGCCGACCUGAGAGGGUGAUCGGCCACACUGGAACUGAGACACGGUCCAGACUCCUACGGGAGGCAGCAGUAGGGAAUCUUCCGCAAUGGGCGAAAGCCUGACGGAGCAACGCCGCGUGAGUGAUGAAGGGUUUCGGCUCGUAAAACUCUGUUAUUAGGGAAGAACAAAUGUGUAAGUAACUGUGCACGUCUUGACGGUACCUAAUCAGAAAGCCACGGCUAACUACGUG
rnacentral:rRNA from 1 species